CGGUUCGUAAUAUGAACCACGUGAGGUUUACUCACCUCUAAUCCAGCUGCGUCUUCUAAAAAGUCAAAUAUAACGAUAUUCCAAACGCUAGUCAACUCAAACCGUCAAGUACCUAAUCAAGUACGGUCUUUGCUUAGUAAACGAAACACGAAAUAAACUUAAACGACGAUCCAACGGUCAGAUUCUAAAAUAAAGACGAUCCAAUGGUCAGAUUCUAAAAUAAAGACGAUCCAACGGUCGGAUUCGAAAAUAAAGGUGAUCCAACGGUCGGAUUCAAAAAUAAAGAUGAUCCAACGGUCGGAUCGAAAUUAUAUGAUGAUCCAACGAUCGGAUCCUCACGGAUCGCCCUUAGGAUCAUCCUCCAAAAUUAUCACGAAGAUCCAACGGUCAGAUCUUCCUGAAUCGUCCUUAUAAACAUCUCCACAAAAUUUCAUGAAAAUCCGACGGUCGGAUUCUCACGAAUCGCCUUCUGAAUCACUAUUCCACAAUUAUACGAAGAUCCAACGGUCGGAUCUUCGCCCGUAACCUCACAAAGUCACCGGGACAGUCAUACGAUCAACAUAUUAAAAUUUGAAGUAAAACCGAUGGUCUGAUCUUCACAGAUCGUAAACCGAAGAUAAAACGUUAAAACGUAAAUCCACUAUUUAUCAACUUUUUCUAAAAUAACCUUGUAAUAUAUCAAAACGCUCGUAUGGAUGCGUAGAUCAUCGUCCAGAUAGUAUAAACUCAAAAUAUGGUCCGACGCGCCGCCACAAGCGGUGGUCAGUGGGUGGUCAACACGGCGGUCAACGCGGCGGUCAACCACCUCCGAUGCAAAAGUCGUCAACUACAAACUUCUUCAGAAUAAAAGGGUGAUCAACUUUCAUACCUGGAGCUAAGCCUGGUUCGGCCUAGAUCGUCCUAGAUCAAGCUUUGAAGUUUGGAUUAAUCUGGUGCGUCUGAUCAGAUUCCAGAUUGAAUCAGGGACGUCAAAAUCUUCAACUCGUGAUCUUUCACUCCACACUCAAAAUCGUCAUGCAAGGAGGAUAUGAGGAUGAUCAGGGAGAGGAGGAGAUCACGAAAAUGGGAAGGAUCGGCCCGUGAAACGCCGGCGUCGAGGUUUUCCAGCCGGGUCGGGUUUCGCACGGCUGAGGUGGCUUCGAUCCAGCUCUGUGGGCUGCAGCGGGGCAAGACGACGUCACAGGGAGACUGGGCGGCGCUGGGCGACCUUGGGAAGGGCCGGGUCCCCGACGGAGGAGGCCGGACGUGAGAGAUGGAGCCGGGUCGGGUCAGACGGGUCGGCCGCG
rnacentral:lncRNA from 1 species